AUGGACGCGCCUCCCCCCACGCAGCCGGACGCGGCGGCGCCGCCCCCCUCAACAGCGGCUGCGGCUCCCCCUGCCGCGCCGCCGCCCGAUCUCGCGCCUCCCGUUUCCACCGCCGCGCCACCCACCUCCGAACCCACGCCCGCUCCUGCCCCCGCCCCAGCUCCCGCCCCCGCCCCCGCCCCANNNNNNNAGCCCCCAACUCCGAUCCCCGCUACCGCGCGGCCGCCGGCGCCUCGCAUGAGGCCGCCGUACACCCACCUAGCCUCGCCCAUCACGAUGUCCUCCUCCUCCUCUGCCGCCACAGCAGGGGCCUCCUCCGCGGCUUCUGCAAUGGCAAGGGGAGGGGUUGCGAUUGGGUUGCCUGCGCACCCGCGUGGGGCGCAGACCCCGAUGGGCUAUACGGGGUUCGUGCCGCCGCCGCCGCUCGCCCAUCAAUUCAGCCCUAUGCAUCGCGGCCCCGACCAGGCCCCGCUGCCCACUCCACAGCUUAGGCAACCUGCCCCGGGGAUCCAGAAUAUUGGGAUGAUUGGUUCCCUUAACGCGUCUCAGAUGAGACCAGGAGCAGUAUCUGGUUCGCAACAGCCAAGGCCAGGUCUUCCAUCAUCAGCGACACCAUCUUCGUCUGGUAGCCAAAUGCCAGGUUCACAAAAAACCCCCAUGCAUUCUUUAACAAGACCAAUGUCUAUGGGUUCCCCUGCGACGGCUUUACAGCAAACUCCGGCAAAUAUGUCUUCACCAUUUAGGCCACAACAAAGGCCACAAGUUCCACAACAAAGGCCACAAGUUCCACAACCAAGGCCACAAGUUCCACAACCAAGACCAUACCAUGCUGCACAAUCUGCACCUGUAACUUCUCAACAGAAUGCACUUUCAGGACAGCAGCAGCUACCUCAGCAGCAACCUCAGCAUCAGCAUCAGCAGCAGCAACAGCAAGUUUUGCAGCAGCAGCAGCAGCAGCAACAGCAAGUUUUGCAGCAGCAGCAACAACAGCAAGUUUUACAGCAGCAGCAGCAGCAGCAACAACAACAACAGCAGCAGCAACAGCAACAGCAGCAAAGUCAACCACAGAGUUCCUCACAGCAAAAUCAGCAAAAUACAACACUAAAAAACCAGCAGCAAGCUGCUCGGACUCCUGUCUCAUUGACUCAGAAGCCUGAUUCUCCAGCCACACUACAAGCUACUAAUAUGCAGCUUGUGGACAUGGCUUCUGCCGAUGCAGCUUCUGGUGAAUCCAGUAAUCGGCUACUCUCCAAGAGGAGUAUUCAUGAUUUACUUGCACAGAUCGACCCUUCGGAAAGGCUGGAUCCUGACGUUGAAGAUGUUCUUAUUGACAUUGCAGAAGAUUUUAUUGAAUCUGUCGGAACAUUUGCUUGUUCUUUAGCAAAGCAUAGAAAGUCGACUACUUUGGAAGCCAAAGAUGUACUCCUUCAUGCAGAGAGAAGCUGGAAUAUCACCUUGCCAGGUUUCACCGGGGAUGAAAUAAAACUAUACAAGAAGCCGCAUGUCAACGAUAUUCACAGGGAGAGGCUUACUCUGAUCAAGAAGUCAAUGGCGAGUGAAGGGAACAUAAAGACCUCUGCUGCCCAAUCUACAGCCAACCAGAAAAAUCAGGCUCCAAAGCCACCUGCCACAGGUUCUCCGUGA
rnacentral:rRNA from 1 species